GACGAACGCUGGCGGCGUGCUUAACACAUGCAAGUCGAACGGAAAGGCCCUGCUUUUGUGGGGUGCUCGAGUGGCGAACGGGUGAGUAACACGUGAGUAACCUGCUCUUGACUUUGGGAUAACUUCAGGAAACUGGGGCUAAUACCGGAUAGGAGCUCCUGCUGCAUGGUGGGGGUUGGAAAGUUUCGGCGGUUGGGGAUGGACUCGCGGCUUAUCAGCUUGUUGGUGGGGUAGUGGCUUACCAAGGCUUUGACGGGUAGCCGGCCUGAGAGGGUGACCGGCGACAUUGGGACUGAGAUACGGCCCAGACUCCUACGGUAGGCAGCAGUGGGGAAUAUUGCACAAUGGGCGGAAGCCUGAUGCAGCAACGCCGCGUGCGGGAUGACGGCCUUCGGGUUGUAAACCGCUUUCGCCUGUGACGAAGCGUGAGUGACGGUAAUGGGUAAAGAAGCACCGGCUAACUACGUG
rnacentral:rRNA from 1 species